rnacentral:rRNA from 1 species
UAAGAGCUCGUAGGUGGUUGGUCACGUCUGCUGUGGAAACGCAACGCUUAACGUUGCGCGUGCAGUGGGUACGGGCUGACUAGAGUGCAGUAGGGGAGUCUGGAAUUCCUGGUGUAGCGGUGAAAUGCGCAAAUAUCAGGAGGAACACCGGUGGCGAAGGCGGGACUCUGGGCUGUAACUGACACUGAGGAGCGAAAGCAUGGGGAGCGAACAGGAUUAGAUACCCUGGUAGUCCAUGCCGUAAACGUUGGGCACUAGGUGUGGGGGACAUUCCACGUUCUCCGCGCCGUAGCUAACGCAUUAAGUGCCCCGCCUGGGGAGUACGGUCGCAAGGCUAAAACUCAAAGGAAUUGACGGGGGCCCGCACAAGCGGCGGAGCAUGCGGAUUAAUUCGAUGCAACGCGAAGAACCUUACCAAGGCUUGACAUACACUGGACCGUUCUGGAAACAGUUCUUCUCUUUGGAGCUGGUGUACAGGUGGUGCAUGGUUGUCGUCAGCUCGUGUCGUGAGAUGUUGGGUUAAGUCCCGCAACGAGCGCAACCCUCGUUCUAUGUUGCCAGCACGUGAUGGUGGGAACUCAUAGGAGACUGCCGGGGUCAACUCGGAGGAAGGUGGGGAUGACGUCAAAUCAUCAUGCCCUUUAUGUCUUGGGCUUCACGCAUGCUACAAUGGCUGGUACAGAGAGAGGCGAACCCGUGAGGGUAAGCGAAUCCCUUAAAGCCAGUCUCAGUUCGGAUCGUAGUCUGCAAUUCGACUACGUGAAGUCGGAGUCGCUAGUAAUCGCAGAUCAGCAACGCUGCGGUGAAUACGUUCCCGGGCCUUGUACACACCGCCCGUC